UGAUGGCUUCUGUCUUUCCAGUACUGGAUG
rnacentral:piRNA from 1 species